GGGUCCGGACACACUGAGGAUUGACAGAUAUACGUCGUGCGUUGAGCUCUCUCGGGGGCCGAGCGCAUGACUGAAAGAUGCUAGUUCUUUCAUGAUUAUGUGAUAGGUGGUGCAUGGCCGUUCUUAGUUCGUGGAGUGAUCUGUCUGCUUAAUUGCGUAUCAUAAAAAAAGAGACCUAGUAUACGCGUAAGAUAUCGUUUACGGUUCGUGACCCCCUUCGGGCGUGUGUCGCACGUACGUAUCAUACGCACUGGUCUCCGAUAGCAACGAACGUGACCGUACUCUAUUGUUGCAGCGAAUGUAUGCAUCUUCGGGUGUAUCUACCGCUGCUUAGCAUAUUUCAUGCCUCGUGCGUGUGUAUGCAUUAAACUAUAGAGACCGCUGUAUUUUUUUUAAACCAGAGGAAGGAUACGGCAAUAACAGGUCUGUGAUGCCCUCAGAUGUUCCGGGCUGCACACGUGCUACAAUGAUCAUUGCACUGUGCAUCUAACCCAAUGUGCGUGGACGCCACGGUAUGUAUUUAUGCUUCGGCGUAGUAUAUAUCAGUUGGUCGGUCGCGCCGAACCUACUUCGAAAGUAAAAUUUCUCAGUGGGU
rnacentral:rRNA from 1 species